rnacentral:rRNA from 1 species
GAUUGCACGUCUAAGCAGUAAGGCUGAGUAUUAGGCAAAUCCGGUACUCGUUAAGGCUGAGCUGUGAUGGGGAGAAGACAUUGAGUCUUCGAGUCGUUGAUUUCACACUGCCGAGAAAAGCCUCUAGAUAGAAAAUAGGUGCCCGUACCGCAAACCGACACAGGUAGUCAAGAUGAGAAUUCUAAGGUGAGCGAGCGAACUCUCGUUAAGGAACUCGGCAAAAUGACCCCGUAACUUCGGGAGAAGGGGUGCUCUUUAGGGUUAACGCCCAGAAGAGCCGCAGUGAAUAGGCCCAAGCGACUGUUUAUCAAAAACACAGGUCUCUGCUAAACCGUAAGGUGAUGUAUAGGGGCUGACGCCUGCCCGGUGCUGGAAGGUUAAGAGGAGUGGUUAGCUUCUGCGAAGCUACGAAUCGAAGCCCCAGUAAACGGCGGCCGUAACUAUAACGGUCCUAAGGUAGCGAAAUUCCUUGUCGGGUAAGUUCCGACCCGCACGAAAGGCGUAACGAUUUGGGCACUGUCUCAACGAGAGACUCGGUGAAAUCAUAGUACCUGUGAAGAUGCAGGUUACCCGCGACAGGACGGAAAGACCCCGUGGAGCUUUACUGUAGCCUGAUAUUGAAAUUCGGCACAGCUUGUACAGGAUAGGUAGGAGCCUUUGAAACGUGAGCGCUAGCUUACGUGGAGGCGCUGGUGGGAUACUACCCUAGCUGUGUUGGCUUUCUAACCCGCACCACUUAUCGUGGUGGGAGACAGUGUCAGGCGGGCAGUUUGACUGGGGCGGUCGCCUCCUAAAAGGUAACGGAGGCGCUCAAAGGUUCCCUCAGAAUGGUUGGAAAUCAUUCAUAGAGUGUAAAGGCAUAAGGGAGCUUGACUGCGAGACCUACAAGUCGAGCAGGGUCGAAAGACGGACUUAGUGAUCCGGUGGUUCCGCAUGGAAGGGCCAUCGCUCAACGGAUAAAAGCUACCCCGGGGAUAACAGGCUUAUCUCCCCCAAGAGUUCACAUCGACGGGGAGGUUUGGCACCUCGAUGUCGGCUCAUCGCAUCCUGGGGCUGUAGUCGGUCCCAAGGGUUGGGCUGUUCGCCCAUUAAAGCGGUACGCGAGCUGGGUUCAGAACGUCGUGAGACAGUUCGGUCCCUAUCCGUCGUGGGCGUAGGAAAUUUGAGAGGAGCUGUCCUUAGUACGAGAGGACCGGGAUGGACAUACCUCUGGUGUACCAGUUGUCGUGCCAACGGCAUAGCUGGGUAGCUAUGUGUGGACGGGAUAAGUGCUGAAAGCAUCUAAGCAUGAAGCCCCCCUCAAGAUGAGAUUUCCCAACUUCGGUUAUAAGAUCCCUCAAAGAUGAUGAGGUUAAUAGGUUCGAGGUGGAAGCAUGGUGACAUGUGGAGCUGACGAAUACUAAUCGAUCGAAGACUUAAUC